GUGAAAUAUAAAACAAACAAAAGAGAAUAAUAAAUCCUAGUAUAAAAAAUAAAUGAGUAAAAGUAUAGUAUGGGUGGUAUUGUCUCUAGUAGUAUAGGUAGAAUGUCACCCCAUAUCACUUGGCCAACCCCAUACACAAAACGUCCUGACGCGCGUUUUGCCAAAAAUAUUCUUCCAGGGGAACAGAGUUAAACCAAACAGAGGUUUAAAAAUAGCACCUCUGUCAUUGAUAGGAUACCCACUAACCAAUCUGAACAUGGAUGAAAACCUGUAGGUGGCCUAAAAGGCAGGUUAUAUUAACCCUAUGUGUACCUGAUGGAAUCUUUAUUGUGGAGGAAAAAGUUGCAAAUACACAAAUAUAAAGGCACUUAUUUUUAGUUGUUAGAACACGUAUAAUGCUAGAAUACUU